AGAGUGAACGCUGGCGGUAGGCCUAACACAUGCAAGUCGAACGGCAGCACGGUAAGAGCUUGCUCUUAUGGGGUGGCGAGUGGCGGACGGGUGAGGAAUACAUCGGAAUCUACCUUUUGGUGGGGGAUAACGUAGGGAAACUUACGCUAAUACCGCAUACGCCCUUCGGGGGAAAGCCGGGACCAGCAAUGGCCUGGCGCUGAGUAGAUGAGCCGAUGUCGGAUAGCUAGUUGGUGAGGUAAUGGCUCACAAGGCGACGAUCCGUAGCUGGUCUGAGAGGAUGAUCAGCCACACUGGAACUGA
rnacentral:rRNA from 1 species